CUGUGGGGACCUUGAGUCCACCUGGGCCGUCUUUAUGCUCCAGGAGCCCAUGAAGGGGCAAGGACGUGCGGGAGUCAUUGCUGUGGAAGGGGGAACACAGCUGGCACCAAAUGAAUGCCCUGAGCUCGGCGGCAGGCCUGUGAGGCAAGGUCGCCUAAGUGGGGAGGGCCGAUGGAACCGGAAGUAUUCUGAGCAUCCAAGAGCACCUGGAGGAAGGUGCAGCAGCCACCUUACAGGUGUGGA
rnacentral:lncRNA from 1 species